CCUACGGGAGGCAGCAGUGAGGAAUAUUGGUCAAUGGGCGCGAGCCUGAACCAGCCAAGUCGCGUGAGGGAAGACGGUCCUAUGGAUUGUAAACCUCUUUUGUCGGGGAGCAAAAGACGCCACGCGUGGCGUUCCGAGAUUACCCGAAGAAAAAGCAUCGGCUAACUCCGUGCCAGCAGCCGCGGUAAUACGGGGGAUGCGAGCGUUAUCCGGAUUUAUUGGGUUUAAGGGGUGCGCAGGCGGAAGAUCAAGUCAGCGGUAAAAUUGAGGGGCUCAACCUCUUCGAGCCGUUGAAACUGGUUUUCUGGAGUGAGCGAGAGGUAUGCGGAAUGCGUGGGGUAGAGGUGAAAUGCAUAGAUAUCACGCAGAACUCCGAUUGCGAAGGCAGCAUACCGGCGCUCAACUGACGCUCAUGCACGAAAGUGUGGGUAUCGAACAGGAUUAGAUACCCGAGUAGUC
rnacentral:rRNA from 1 species